AUUGAACGCUGGCGGCAUGCUUUACACAUGCAAGUCGAACGGUAACAGGUCUUCGGAUGCUGACGAGUGGCGAACGGGUGAGUAAUGUAUCGGAACGUGCCCAGUAGUGGGGGAUAACUACUCGAAAGAGUGGCUAAUACCGCAUGAGAACUGAGGUUGAAAGCGGGGGACCUUCGGGCCUCGCGCUACUGGAGCGGCCGAUAUCAGAUUAGGUAGUUGGUGGGGUAAAGGCCUACCAAGCCGACGAUCUGUAGCUGGUCUGAGAGGACGACCAGCCACACUGGGACUGAGACACGGCCCAGACUCCUACGGGAGGCAGCAGUGGGGAAUUUUGGACAAUGGACGCAAGUCUGAUCCAGCAAUGCCGCGUGCAGGACGAAGGCCUUCGGGUUGUAACUAGCUUUUGUACUAGAACGAAAAGGCUACUGGUUAAUACCU
rnacentral:rRNA from 1 species